AUGGUGUUCAGGCGCUUGGUGGAGAUUGGCCGAGUGGCCUAUGUCUCCUUUGGGCCUCAUGUUGGAAAGCUUAUGGCGAUUAUAGAUGUUAUUGAUCAAAACAGGGCUUUGGUUGAUGGACCUUGCACUCAGGUAAGAAGAUAGGCCAUGCCUUUCAAAUGCAUGCAACUCACCGACCUCAUCCUCAAGUUCCCAUCCAGUGCCGGCAGAAGUAUGUCCGACAAGCCUGGCAGAAGGCCAAGAAAAUUGAAGCCAGAGAAAGGAAAGCUAAAAUGACAGAUUUUGAUCAUUUUAAAGUUAUGAAGACAAAGAAAAUGAGGAACUGAAUAAUCAAGAAUGAAGUUAAGAAGCUUCAAAAAACAGCUCUUCUGAAAGCUUCUCCCAAAAAAGCACCUGCUAAGGGCGUUGCUGCUGUUGCAGCAGCUACUGCUAAAGUUCCAGCAAAAAAGAUGACAACAACAACAACAAAAAAAAGAUGACAACUGCAGGCAAGAAGACUGCAGCCCAAAAAGCCACAGGCCAGAAGGCAGCACCUCCUCCAAAAGCUCAGAAGGGUCAAAAGGCUCCAGCCCAGAAAGCACCUGCUCCAAAGGCAUCUGGAAAUAAAGCAUAAGAGGCUAUAAUGAAAGUAAUAAAGGUUCUUUUUGACAUGUUCAAAAAA